GAAUAAGUUCUUCAAUUCUUCUUUCUAUCUUUCUCUCUAUGAUCUUCUACAAUUCUUCACGAGUUGCUUUUGAUGAUGGAUCACAUUAUCAUAAGGUAUGUCAUUAAUUUGUUAUUGUUAUCAUCUUAAAUCUCUCAAAGAAUCCAUAUUAUAAUUCAUACAAUUUUGAAUAGAUUGAGAUUUAUAUAACUAAUAUUGUUGUGUUUUCGAAUCUAAGUAAACGAGCUUAAAGAAAUGCUACAAAAUUUUAGAAUGUAGAAACUGCUUCAUAUGAGUCGACCGUCCAAUUGAUUUGUCACGUUCAGUUUUUCGUUGGUUUACUUCAAUGGGUCGAUGCCAAUCUUAUGUUUAUUUUUGUUGUUGAGAUAUCAUAAUCAAAUAAUUCGUUAAAAAGUGUUUAAUUUCAUCUCAUAUUGUAGUUCAUAACUUUUGGGUAUACCACUUUGCAUUGUCUUUAUUAUUGUGUUAUUUGACCAGUUUGAUAUGAUGUGGGUUUCUUUACAACCAUGAAUAUUUAUUUUUUGAUCGGUUUAAAACCUACUCGAAUUUCUUUUAAGUUUUCUCAUUGGAAAAAUGAAAAAGUUUCCAUUAGUAUUAUUAAAUUAGAAGAUGAUAAGUUUCCAUUAGUAUUAUUAAAUUAGAAGAUGAAAAGUUACCAUUGGUAUUAUUAAAUUGGAUUUAUCACAACAUAUAAAUGAAUAUUCAUAUCUUAGUUUUUUUUAAUUGUAGUAUUAAUAUGAAAAGUUUCAAUGAAUGGUUUCAAUUAUUUAAUUUUAUUAUAUUAUUUAAUGAAUCUUGCUUUAUGUCUAUAUAAUUAAAUUAUUUGUGUAUGGCAUAUAACUCAGUAUUUUUGUUCUCAAGAUAUACUUUAUCUUACUUAAGCUUAAUUACUUUAUACUUUUAAUUAUGGGAUAAGAACUCGCUAAAAUCAGUAUAUUAUUUUAAAGGUCUUUGCUAUUAGAUAAACAUGGAGUUGUAUUCUCACACAUAUAUUAGUUUCUAUCUUAUGUUUAGACAAAAUAUGUAACUUUAGAAAAUUAUUGUUAAUCUAUUUGUCUUGUUUGUACAUUAAUAACACAUGCCUUAAAUGAUAAGAAUGAUCAAACCAUAUAAACAUAUUCUAAGUCGAUAUUAGCUUUUAUUACACGUAAAGCGCAUUUUUUCAAAUUGUUGAUUCAUGAACCAAAACUAUUUUGUAACAUGUGUUAACUGAAUUGCAUAAUAUUUCAAUAUCAACUAAAUCAACUAAGAAGUUUAUAAUUGUGCAUGAUAUUAUCACAUAUUAUUUGGUGUAACUAGUAGGUUUCUUUAUUUCGUAUUGAAUAUACUAUAUAGAUGUUUCUAUUUUUUUAAUGUGAGAGCAACAAAUAUUAUUAUAAGAUAUGCAUGUGAUUGGUUAUGCCAUGAUAGGUUAAUACAUAAUUUAUAUAUUUUACUUGAAUGUGAUGACAUAUUAUUAUUUCAUAAGGUUUUAUUAUAACCUUGUUUUAUUUGAUGACAUGUUAUAAUGUUAUGUAUUACUUGAUUUAACUUUGUAAUAUAUGUUAUAUAUUGUUAGUAUGUAGAUAUUUUUUUGGAUAAAUUAAGCAAAUGAAAAACCAAAAUUUGUGAUUUGCCAUUACUCUCAAAAAAUAUUAUAAAUAUGUUCACGUAUGACAUUCAACGUGUGUCAUACUCUCUGAAAGGUCGUCAUAUGUUGACCAAUAAAUCUUAUACAAGUCGGUAAUGUAAGUUUUUCUCAAAUUAUAUAUUAAUGAGAAAAGAAGAUUGUUUU
rnacentral:lncRNA from 1 species